CGCCGCUGCCCCUCCGAGGUGCGCGGAGCUGCCCCGCCCCGCCCCGUCCCGUCCCGUCCCACGGCGGGGGCGAUGCUCCCCCCGCUGCGCUGCCCGCGGAUCCCUCCCUGCUGAUGCGCUUUAGACGGUUUGCCUGGUGCAGGAUCAUCCCCCGGACAGCCCCGCAUCCCGGCGGCAGCACCGAGCCUCGGCGAUGCGCUAUUUCAUUCCUGGAAAGCUCCAGCUCCAGAGAUAAAAUCUAAGUGGAUUCAGAGAACCUGAAAGGAUCGCAUGCUUCAUGGCUUUCCCUUCAGUAAUGUGGGAGAUAAACAGGAUGUAAUAAAGGAUCCGUC